rnacentral:rRNA from 1 species
AUUGAACGCUGGCGGCAGGCCUAACACAUGCAAGUCGAACGAGUGGCGGACGGGUGAGUAAUGUCUGGGAAACUGCCUGAUGGAGGGGGAUAACUACUGGAAACGGUAGCUAAUACCGCAUACCAUCGGAUGUGCCCAGAUGGGAUUAGCUAGUAGGUGGGGUAAAGGCCGACCUAGGCGACGAUCCCUAGCUGGUCUGAGAGGAUGACCGGCGACACGGGAACGGAGACACGGUCCAGAGUCCUACGGGAGGCAGCAGUGGGGAAUAGGGCACAAUGGGCGCAAGCAUGAUGCAGCCAGGCAGCGUGUAUGAAGAAGGCCUUCGGGUUGUAAAGUACUUUCAGCGGGUAGGCGUUACCCGCAGAAGAAGCACCGGCUAACUCCGUGCCAGCAGCCGCGGUAAUUC